GCCGGUGUAGCCCAGCGGAAGAGGCAAUACGCUUAAGACGUAUAAAGGGUGGGUUCGAAUCCCUCCACCGGUAC
rnacentral:tRNA from 1 species